CUGCAGCCCGAGUGGUGAUCGAUUUUAUUGAGCCUAAAGCAUCCGUAGCCGGCGCUGUAAGUUUUCGGUUAAAUCUGUACGCUCAACGUACAGGCUGCCGGGAAUACUGCAGCGCUAGGGAGUGGGAGAGGUAGACGGUACUCGGUAGGAAGGGGUAAAAUCCUUUGAUCUAUUGAUGACCACCUGUGGCGAAGGCGGUCUACCAGAACACGUCCGACGGUGAGGGAUGAAAGCUGGGGGAGCAAACCGGAUUAGAUACCCGCGUAGUCC
rnacentral:rRNA from 1 species